GACGGGGGAGGCAAGUGUUCUUCGGAAUGACUGGGCGUAAAGGGCACGUAGGCGGUGAAUCGGGUUGAAAGUGAAAGUCGCCAAAAAACUGGCGGAAUGCUCUCGAAACCAAUUCACUUGGGUGAGACAGAGGAGAGUGGAAUUUCGUGUGUAGGGGUGAAAUCCGCAAAUCUACGAAGGAAGGCCAAAAGCGAAGGCAGCUCUCUGGGCCUGUACUGACGCUGAGGAGCGAAAGCGUGGGGGAGCGAACAGG
rnacentral:rRNA from 1 species